GAUGAACGCUGGCGGCGUGCUUAAUACAUGCAAGUCGAGCGAACGGACGAGACGCUUGCUUCUUUGUUGUUAGCGGCGGACGGGUGUGAAACACGUGGAAACCCUCCUUAUAAUACGGGGAUAACUUGGGAAAACCGGCGCAAAUCCCGUAUAAUCUUUUGAACCGCAGGGUUGAAAGGAAAAAGUCGGCCUUGCGGUAUCUAAUAGAGGGUUCCGCGCUGGAUUGGCUAGUUGUUAAGGAACCGGCUUACCAAGGCAAGGAUGCAUAGCCGACCUGAGGGGGUGAUCGGCCACACUGGAACUGAGACACGGUCCAGACGCCUACGGGAGGCAGCAGGAGGGAAUCUUCCGCAAUGGGCGAAAGCCUGACGGAGCAACGCCGCGUGCGUGAUGAAGGUCUUCGGAUCGUAAAACUCUGUUAUUAGGGAAGAACAUAUGUGUAAGUAACUGUGCACAUCUUGACGGUACCUAAUCAGAAAGCCACGGCUAACUACGUG
rnacentral:rRNA from 1 species